CCUCCAAUGGCCUUCUGUAUCACAAUGAAAAUAUUUUUCCUUUGCUUCAGUCUUCUUUGAAACAUCCUUCUUUGGCUUGCUCUCUUUCUUCUGCUUCUUCAUGGAUUUACUCUUCUUCUUUCAACCAGAUUUUUUUUUGGAUGAAGAAAAUCUGCUCUACAGCGAGAACAGUACCCUUUGAACUCUUCAAGGUUUUCUCAGUAGUGACCAACAUGUGGA
rnacentral:lncRNA from 1 species